GAUGAACGCUGGCGGCGUGCCUAAUACAUGCGAGUCGAGCGAACGGACGAGAAGCUUGCUUCUCUGAUGUUAGCGGCGGACGGGUGAGUAACACGUGGAUAACCUACCUAUAAGACUGGGAUAACUUCGGGAAACCGGAGCUAAUACCGGAUGAUAUUUUGAACCGCAUGGUUCAAAAGUGAAAGACGGUCUUGCUGUCACUUAUAGAUGGAUCCGCGCUGGAUUAGCUAGUUGGUAAGGUAACGGCUUACCAAGGCAACGAUGCGUAGCCGACCUGAGAGGAUGACCAGCCACACUGGAACUGAGACACGGUCCAGACUCCUACGGGAGGCAGCAGUAGGGAAUCUUCCACAAUGGGCGCAAGCCUGACCGAGCAACGCCGCGUGAGUGAUGAAGGUCUUCGGAUCGUAAAACUCUGUUAUUAGGGAAGAACAGAUGUGUGAGUAACUGUGCACAUCUUGACGGUACCUAAACAGAAAGCCACGGCUAACUACGUG
rnacentral:rRNA from 1 species